GAACUGCGAGAUGUGAUGCGAAUUGCAUAUGUCCGUGAAUCAUUGAAUCUUUGAACGCAACUGGCGCUCUAUGUUCGCCAUAGAGCACGUGCCCCUCAGUCUCGAUCCUCUACUCUAUACCCUUGCAAUAUAGGGAGUUACCUGGUCUGGGUUGGGUAUAUAUACUAAACAUAUGUAUACUCGACCCACUCCAGCUGGUUACUAUAUAUAUAUAUGUGCUUGUAUAUCGCAGUCAUCAUGUGUUCACACUAUAUGGCGGGUAUCCAAGUUACCUAUCUAUUAUGUAUCGUCCCGAGCUGAGUUGGCACGAGAUUACCCCCUGAAUUUAA
rnacentral:misc_RNA from 1 species